GUCAGUAACCCAGCCCUAAAGGGACUGGGCUUGCAAGAGUAAUCAAGCAAGCCGUACUGACCAGACCACCCUGAGUUUACUCUCAUGGUAGCCGUUAUUUGAGUCACGACACCCCGGAAUGCGUUGCUAGUUCCCUGCUCUGUCGCUUGUGAUUAAACAGUUCUAAGGUCAUUGGAACAGUGUUGCAAGCUCAAGCAAGCUCUUAUAACAGGUCGUUCGCGCCAGCGUGCCGGAGGCAUCUAGCUAACAUUACCCCAGAAAUGGG
rnacentral:sRNA from 1 species